rnacentral:rRNA from 1 species
GACGAACGCUGGCGGCGUGCUUAACGCAUGCAAGUCGAACGGAAAGGCCCUGCUUUUGUGGGGUGCUCGAGUGGCGAACGGGUGAGUAACACGUGAGUAACCUGCCCUUGACUUUGGGAUAACUUCAGGAAACUGGGGCUAAUACCGGAUAGGAGCUCCUGCUGCAUGGUGGGGGUUGGAAAGUUUCGGCGGUUGGGGAUGGGCUCGCGGCUUAUCAGCUUGUUGGUGGGGUAGUGGCUUACCAAGGCUUUGACGGGUAGCCGGCCUGAGAGGGUGACCGGCCACAUUGGGACUGAGAUACGGCCCAGACUCCUACGGGAGGCAGCAGUGGGGAAUAUUGCACAAUGGGCGGAAGCCUGAUGCAGCAACGCCGCGUGCGGGAUGACGGCCUUCGGGUUGUAAACCGCUUUCGCCUGUGACGAAGCGUGAGUGACGGUAAUGGGUAAAGAAGCACCGGCUAACUACGUG